rnacentral:lncRNA from 1 species
UGGCAUCUUUCUCUCGGACCAGACCCUUUGGUUGAGGAUGAGGCUGAUCAUGUUUCACCUAUCUUGAUCUCGUACUCGAUGCUCAGUCUCACUGAUUUCAUCAUUUUGUAUUAGGUUACUUAGUUAUAUUUUGUAGAUUAGAUGUAUGAGAGCUUUAUGCUCAUUAUGACUCUUGUAACCUCUCUUUUUAGUGUUAAUGAAUGAGGUUAUUAUCAUUUUAUUUGGCUCAUUUUUUUUGGAUGAAUGAAUGGAUGAAUACC